rnacentral:lncRNA from 1 species
AAACAUCUUAGGACUUAGAUUACUAAGCUUAUGAAAGAUCAAAGAUGAUCAAGAGCUAGAGGGCCACACGAGACCUGCUGUGGGGUGCUUCACAAAUGGCUGAAAAUGGACAGGCCAAGGAGGGCCCAUGCUGGCUGAUGGUAGAUAAUGGGAAGGACAUGAAAAUAGUAGAAUUAUCUAAACACAAUAAAUGGGAGAAAGAGGAGGAGGUGCUAAACAUGAAAAACAAAUAGAAUAGAGGUGGCCACUUACCAAGAGAAUGAAGACUGUGGUACAAAAUGAUUUGGAUAGUGGAGCUGGGGAGUUGACUUAAUUUAGUCUGUGAGCACAAUUGCAAGUGGUAGUCACUCACUGAGGACAAACUGUUGAGAGCAGGACCCAAACUGAGCAGUAUAAAGACAAGGGAAAGAGAAGGUAAAGAUAAAAGUGGAAGAAGUGCCUAGAGGUAAGAGAUCUCAGAGAACAAGCUGCUGUAUGUUUUGAAAACUGCAUGAAAACAAAAGGAGAAGGUGCUGUAAAGCCUAAAGUUAGAAAAGUUAGUAAAACUAUACUG